rnacentral:siRNA from 1 species
UCCAAGUUGUGCAAGUGUGGUC